UGACAAUUUGAGGCAAACAUGCUUGAGUC
rnacentral:piRNA from 1 species